AAACAAAAUUGACAAACCCUUGGCUAGACUAAGAAAAAAAGAAAGAAGAACCAGGCUGGAAGCAGUGGCUCAUGCCCAUAAUCCCAGCACUUUGGGAGGCCGAGGCAGAGUGGAUCACCUGAGGUCAGGAGUUCGAGACCAACGUGGCCAAUAUGGCAAAAUUCUGUCUCAACAAAAAUACAAAAAUUAGCCAGGCAUGGUGGCACGUACGUAUAAUCUCAGCUACUUAGGGGGCUGAGGCAGGAGAAUUGCUUGAAUCCAGGAAGUGGAGGUUGCAGUGAGCCAAGAUUGCACCACCACACUCCAUCCUGGGUGACACAGCAAGACUCCAUCUCAAAAAAAAAAAAAAUGCAGAAAGAAGACCCAUAUAAAUAACAUCAGGAACAAAAAAGCAGACAUAAAGCUGAGACCACAGAAAUACAAUGAAUCAUUAGAGACUAUUAUGAAAAAGUAUGUGCCAACAAAUUGGAAAACCUAAAAUACUCAUUCAUUCCCUUUACCACCCGCAGCCCGGCACUGACCCAACUUCCCUCAUAAAAGACAUGAACAGGGAAGAGAUCCACCUUUCCUUCUUCUUUCUUCUCUUUUUUUUCUGGGAUCAGGCUUUUUAAGGAUUGGAAUCUGGGAAGAAGGAUGAAAGAAAUGAGACUAGCCUUUCCAUAACUGGACCACCAGUAUGAUUUUCUGUAGGUUUCUCUGCUGGAUUCACAACCACUGGCAUAGGAGCCCUCCAUGUGGCAGGUGUUACUUGGAGACCCUCUGACUGCUCAAGCGAACCUCCCCAUGGCAUGGAAUCUUGUGGGAGCUCUGCCACCAGGAAACUCCAAAUGUUCUUCAGCUACUGUUCCAAAGGUACAGUCUGCAGUGUCUGGAUGGCAGGAACCCCAUCACCUUAGGAAAUAUGAUGUCUUCAGCAUUGUACAGAAAGCCUUGAGGAAACAUGGAGUUUCUGAAUCCUCUACCAUGUUCGCAAGUGAAGGAGAAACAUUUUCAUUCAGAUACCGAUUGAACAACACCUACCUAUGGGUAUCCCUCCCAAAGAGAGUUACCAGCCCUCAAGGGACUUCUGGAUUGAAUGCUAUGCCUUCUCAUCUCUCCCAUUUUAAUACCUCCUAGUUCAUCUCUCUGCCUUUAGCCUUGGCCCCAGUGAUCCAGGCUCUACACUGCUAGUGCAAGAAUCUCAUGAAGACAGCAAAUCUGAUGAUGCCCAGACUCUGAGGAAAAUCUUUCAGUGCCAUCUGCAUGAGUUUACUAUUGCUGCUUUAACAAAUUACCACAAAUUUGGUGGCAUAAAACAAUUCAAAUUUUUUAUCUUACACUUCUAUAGGUUAAAAGUUUGACAUGGAUCUUACUGGGCUAGAAUCAAAAUGUUAGCAGGGCUGCGUUCCUUUUAUGGAGUCUCUAGAGAAGAAUCCAUCUCCUAGCGCCUUGCCCAGCUUCUACAUGAUGUCUGUAUUCUUUGAGUCAUAGCCUCUUCCUUCCCUUUAGCAAAAGCAGGUUGAGUUCUCACUCUGCCUCAUUCUGACUUCUACAUAGAAGGUUUUUUCUUUACUCGUUUUGUUCAUAGCUAUAUCCCCAGCACCUAGUAGAAAGUUUUUACUACAUGUUUGUUGAAUAAAUGAAAAAAAAUCAAAAACUUAAAAACAAUGUACUAAGUGUACUUAAUAAAUGCAGUUGUUCCACAUUCCCAU
rnacentral:lncRNA from 1 species